rnacentral:rRNA from 1 species
AGUGAACGCUGGCGGUAGGCCUAACACAUGCAAGUCGAACGGCAGCACAGUAAGAGCUUGCUCUUACGGGUGGCGAGUGGCGGACGGGUGAGGAAUACAUCGGAAUCUACUUUUUCGUGGGGGAUAACGUAGGGAAACUUACGCUAAUACCGCAUACGACCUACGGGUGAAAGCAGGGGAUCCUCGGACCUUGCGCGAUUGAAUGAGCCGAUGUCGGAUUAGCUAGUUGGCGGGGUAAAGGCCCACCAAGGCGACGAUCCGUAGCUGGUCUGAGAGGAUGAUCGGCCACACUGGAACUGAGACACGGUCCAGACUCCUACGGGAGGCAGCAGUGGGGAAUAUUGGACAAUGGUCGCAAGCCUGAUCCAGCCAUACCGCGUGGGUGAAGAAGGCCUUCGGGUUGUAAAGCCCUUUUGUUGGGAAAGAAAAGCAGCAGGUUAAUACCCCGCUGUUCUGACGGUACCCAAAGAAUAAGCACCGGCUAACUUCGUG